UUUUACUGUUGCAAAUACAAAUGUACACAAGAUACAACCAAAGGAGGCACAAACAGGGGUGCUGAUGGUGUGGUUGGUCCAGAAGAGGUGACAUAUGAAGAAAUAACAAAGGAGAGAGAACCAAAUGUGUCUGGAGCAGAUACCCAACAG